rnacentral:lncRNA from 1 species
GCAAACUGGUACAUUCAUCAGACCACCACACCAUCGUCUGGGGCAUGUAUCCGAAUAUUUGUAGCCGUAUGUCAUCAUUCCAAGAGUAGCCAGCAGGCCAUCUCUUAAAGAACAAAAGAUCAUCAGACAUUACUACAAAUUCAGCUUACAGUAGACUUGUUAAUUUCUUCAAUUGAAAUGGGCUUAUCUUCUAAUCAACCUGAUUCCUUAUGGGUCGUGACUGUGAUUUAUGCCAUUGGCUCUUUCUGCUGAUAAUGCAGCCAUACCCACCAUAUAAGAAUGGAUGGUUCUACAAAAUACAGUCAAUAUUUAGUUGAUGGUCAUUUAGUCCGUGAUUGCCCUUCCCACUACCUGUGAUAUUGUUUUGGUGGGUAUGGUGCCUAUUUAGGAUCAGAUGUCAGCGCAGAGGAUCUGCGCAGCAUCAGUCUUCUAGUCUGUGAUGCUGUGAUGCCUCAAAUAAAAAACUUCUAUUUUUGCAAAGAUCCGGACUUCUAAAAGAAGAAAGCUGUAUUUUUAAUAACGUUACUCCAACUUCGUUGAAGAGUGAAGAUUUGAAAGUGUGCGUGGUCAGUGCCACUCACAGAAAUAGAUGUAUUUGAAACCAAUCACCGGAUCACUGCAACCAACAGAUUGAUAGGACAAAAACAAACUAAAAUUGUGUACAGACCUUCCAGAAAAAGUCUGUUUGAGUUGUGCUUGUAUUGUUGCUCAAGUGCCUGACUUUGGCUUCCGAACUGUAUCAAAUCAACUUAUUACUGUGCACCUUCCAUGGAGCAGCAAGUCCGAGAAUAUUUGAACCACUGCCUUGUACCUGUGACUUCAGAAGCCGCUGCAUCAGUUUCUGGUCCAGGUCCAGGUCCUGGUCCUGGACCAGGACAUGGUGGUCCUCCACCUCCACCAGGCCCAGCUGGAUGCAUGGGUAAUCGUAUACUGUCUCGGAAUGCAAAUGGAACAAGCAAACUGGUACAUUCAUCAGACCACCACACCAUCGUCUGGGGCAUGUAUCCGAAUAUUUGUAGCCGUAUGUCAUCAUUCCAAGAGUAGCCAGCAGGCCAUCUCUUAAAGAACAAAAGAUCAUCAGACAUUACUACAAAUU